AACAGCAGGGGAGUUCGUGCAAUCGGACUGAGAUUAGGCUGUGUCGCCUUGACCCUUUGUACCUGAUGCGGAUCAUACCGACGUAGGAAGCUUAUGAUA
rnacentral:ncRNA from 1 species